CAGCAGGCUCGGAGUGAUGGAUUCUGGGCUGGCGCUCUGUGCAUCUGGUGGGUUGUGAGCCCCGGGGUGGCCGUCCGUGGGAAUCAUGGUAAGGCAGGAAGACGCAUCUCCUGCAGAUGCGAGGGCUGUGAGCUUGGGGAAGAGACGGUUAAAGCUUCCCGUGCGAGCGAGUUAUAGCAUGCAGCGCCAGUGCCAGGUCAGCAGUCUGCGUGGAGCUUGGACAUGGCUGGUAGCGCCAGGCUGUGCCAGGCUCCCAGAGCAGCGCUGCUCAGCAUUACUGGUGCGGACCCUGGGCUGCAGCCUGGGCAGUGCUCUGACUGCCGUGCUGGAGGGAACUGUGCUCCGAAAAGAGCUUCCCACAGAAACUGGGAUGCAGACACAGCACCCAUGGCUGGGACCCGGCUGCUGCCAGGACAAAGGAGCCCGGAGCAGAUAAUCAAGGACAGAGAAGAAAGUCGAUCUCUGCACAUGAUUGCCGUGUGAGCAUGCGGAAGGACAGGAGGAAUUCAGGAGGCUUCAAGAGGAAAAUCAUGACAACAGACUGGAAGUGUGGGCCCCUGCCUGCCUACUCUGCCUCUGCUGCUCAGAAUCGGUCCGAUCCUGGGCUUCCUUGCAGUGCUGGUGACAAUUUCUGAGACAGAAGUCUGGACCCAAAGGGACAAACCACUGGAGUUGUCACACAUCCAAGUGGGCAAGAGGAAAGCUGGAACGUACUCAGCCCCAGGCCGCAAGCCUCCAGCUUCUGCUUGGCCAGUAGAAACGGUGUUACCCAAGGUGCUGCUUUUAGGGAACCUCACUCAAAUCCAAAUGCGUGCCACAGUCCUACAAAUAUGGGGCCCUUUGGUAAGAGGCUUUUUGUCUGAAGGUCACACAGCCUGUCCACUUGGACUUCAAUUUGAAUUGCAAAUUACAUGGCUCACAGUCAGCUUUUCCUUGCGACAUAGAUUUUUCAUACCUGGGCAACUGCAUACACGUGUGUAUGUGCACAUGUAUGUGUGUCAGUGGGAAAGAGGGUGAAGCCCACAGACUCAGCUCCAGGAAGAUUUUGUUUGUUCCCAGUCUGUGUUAGCAAAGGACCCUUUAUGGCUGGCACGUGUUUCUUAGGGUUUAAACACACACACGUGUGCACAUGUGCACAUGCACCUCCAUGCUCCUCCAUUCUGACAUGAUAGAUAGCAGGGGUGACCCAGGGCCCUGCAGGUUACCCCGUGUUGAGGAAUCAAUCUCAGGCUAUUAUCUCUCCAGAUUCACUGAACUACCAGCUCCUCACUUUUGAGGCAGCUUCACCCAGCCCUGCUCUGCAGGAGGUGAGGCUUUGUUAGCCUCCCAGGGCCGCCUGUGACUCAGCCUUGCAGAGGAAUAAGGGAGGAGCCACGCAGCUCUAGUGGCUCCUGAGCCGGCCCACUGCAGCCCACUGCCAGCAGUGUAUGGCACUCUCUGUAGAGAUUUUUCAUGAGCGCCAUACAUUCGGGGAGAGAGAGGCGGAGACAGUCAUCUGACAGUCACGCUAGGAAUCCAUCAAGCUCACAUGGACAAUGCACCAUUUAAAAAUUCUAGAUAGCAAAUAGCCAUUAAAAUUCCAUUUAGCCAUGCUUUAGAUUUGGUGUGCCGGAGGCCCUUGCAAGGUCCUCCCAAGGUCCCAGUCUGUGGCUGACACAGGCUUUGUGAAUUCACCAGUUUUCCCGGAGCAUAGUCCUGUCUCAGCCCGCCUGACCCAGCUUGAAGGAGGCUGCUGAAGAGUGCAUCACUGGGGAGAGAGGGCGAGAAGGAGGAAAGAGCUCAGCUGCAGGCUCAGCCGGUGCUCCCGUGGAAAUCGCUAUCUGGAGACUACAGGAAGAUGGUGUCUGCCAUUGAAAGGGGAAUGGGACUGCGUGUGAAUGACAGCUGCAGGCAGGAUGUGGUCUAGGUCCCCUGAGACCUUCACCUGUGUGUCUUCGGCCCAUGCAGCCCUGUCUGGGAACCUCUGUGUUUGUGGAGAUAAAUCGCGUUGCUUUUAUUUUCAGCGAAGUAGAUUGUGCUGCACCCUUUCCUGCAAAUUUCAGGAAAAGCCUUUUCUGGCUGGUUUUUCUUUUCUAAGCAGGCAGCCUCUAUCUCUGAGGUGCAGUUGGAGCUCUGAGCAGUGGCCUUGCUUUCUGUACUUCAACAAUACAGAGGAACAUGUGGAAAUGUUCUAUUUUGCAGCUCUGAAACCAUGUGAACCAGAUUUCCCCAGGCCUGAUCUUCCCACAGAUAAAAAGCAAGAGCCCAAGAGGCCGGGGUGCACACAGAAACCCUGCAUCGCGUAGUAUAAUUUAAUCAUCCUGUGCUGCAGAAUUUCUUUACAUAAAUUAUGGCCGUGGUGAUAGCAUCACUUGGACAAAAGGUGGCCUCAAAUCAAUUCGCUGCUCCCAGAGUCAUGGGGACUUUUUGAAGUGGACACUGAUUCCUUGGAUCUCAGAAAGCUGAUCACACCUAGGUCUCCCAGAGGGAUGUCCAUCGAGCUGCCCAGCCUGGCCAAGGAUUUAUUCAGCUGAUUUUUUAUCCUGACAUUUGCUAACUGGGUGGAGUUUAUUUUCUAGGAGUAAAGGGUUAUUGGCAACUGCCACCCCCUAGUGUCUGGCAGAGAAGGCAUUUGCAGGAUUACUCUGAGUGGAAGAGAUGGUCUUUUUUUGCAAAUACCUCCUCCUUCCUCUUUCCUCUCUCUUUCUCCUUUUUCCCCACCCCCUGGGCAAACAUGAUUUUUAAAUUCACCACAUUUUUCAUGCUUCAGAGUCUGCUGACAUCUGGCCGAAAGCAGUUACUUUGUGCCCCAAGCAGUUCCGGGUCCCAGGCUCAGCCCUUCCUUCCAGAAGAGAGUCUUUCUCAGGACCUCAGAGCCUGCUCUGAAAGCCUUUCUAUUGAAGGAGGUGGUCAGUCAGCCGUGUGGGUCUCAUUGUGGGUGUCUCAGCACGUCCAGGGCUGGCCUUUGAAAGGAUGGGUUGGGAAGAUUCUCAGGCCAGGAGCAGCUAAUUUCCAUCCCUGCAGCUUCAUCUCACAAAGGACAUUUGGAAGAAGGCAAAAGCAUCGCCUCUACUCCUGCUUCCAGUGGGGUUGACUGGCUGAAAUGGAAUAUAGUCCCAUUUCCCUCAAUAUGAAGGAUGUUUUCAUUGCUUAAAUCCUCAAGGAAAAAUGAUCAUGAUUACCUAUAUAUACUGGGUCAUAGCAUCAAAUGCUAUUUAGUAGGACCAACAAGGGUAGGAUUAUGUGGUAAAAAUUAAUUGGGUAAAAGCAUACCAUUGAUAUUCAAUAAAACCCAAUGAAUGAGUGAAAAUACUUCACAUUGGCAUUGGCAUUCAAAAACGUAGUGACUGUUCACAGAUACAAACCUACUCUCCUAUUUUGUAAUCACAACCAGAGAAAGGCCUUAUCCACAAACACAUCACUGUGAGAAGGCUUAGCUGUUUACUCUCAUAGGCAAAAUGGUCAUGCCAUGUGUGCAUGUGCAUAGAUAAAACACAUGCCAGGUACAGGCCUUAGAGCUCAAGGAUUCUACCUUUCUACAUUUUGUCUAUGCAGCUGUGGUUCUAAAUCAAAAUACUCCAUGCAAUUAUCCUAGAAUAUUACAGUGCAGAGUACUACUUCAGAUACUUUAGUAAUGGGUUUCCACAGACUUCAUAUGUGUAAGCAGCAAAUGCUGAAUGCAAAAGGGCUCGUGAAGCUGAAGACACUUUGGAAAGAAAACAAAAAGUGGAGUGGAAUCUGGUCUGGUGGCUGGGAAGAGUAAACAAACAGACAAGACAGCGCUUCUGAGAAAGAUCUGACUUUUCAAAUGGCACCAGAGAGCUUGGGAACUCCAGGCACCGAUGCUAUACUAUCAAACUUCCCGGAGGGGCCUAGGCGUGGCUUGCAAGUUGCUGCUGAGUUCUGUGAUAGAGUAAAUUUAAGAUCAGGGACUCAGUUUCCCAAGUAUCUGCACCGCAGCACAGGCAUACAUAUUCACACAAACAUGUGCACAGCCUAAGGCGCACACAGCCUGAAGAGGAGGGUCCACAAGGCGUGCUCCGUGGGGAAAGGGCUAUAUACUGCUGCCCUCAGUCACUUCCGGUCCCUGUCCCUCUAAAUCUAAAGGCCGUGGAGAGGCACUGGGCACCCAGAAAUGUGGUUUCUGUCUCCUGAAUCCCACUUUCCACUCUGGGGGUUUCUCCUAUGCUGAACCUUUAUUUCUCAAGCUUAGCUAUUUAUCACACACCUCUGCCUAACUUUAUACAUUUCCCUCAAUAUUUUCAUGGAGAACACUUUGUUAGGGUUCUCCAGAGAAAGAGAAUCAACAGGAUAUGUAAAGAUACACAGAAAGAGGAGAGAGAGAGAAAGAAUGAGAGAGACAGAUUAACUGAGGAAUGAAGCCAGGACCUUCAUACUGAGCUACAUCCUAAGCCUUUUUCAUUUUUUAUUUUGAGGCAAGGUCUCACAAAAAUCACCAGUGUUGGGCUUGAGUUCAGGACCCUCCUGACUCCAUCUUCCAGCAUGCUGGGAUUACAGGCUGUGUCACCAUACUCAACAGGAAGAGAUUUAUUAUGAGGAACAAUUCUGGAUGCCAGGAAGUGCCAUGAUCUUCUGUGUACAAAUCAAGUCCUGGGAAAAGGUUUGGGGUUGGUUCUGGGAAGCAAGGGAAAAUCAACUUUAGAUUUCGACAGACUUGGUUUUACAACUUCCCUGAGUGAUGUGCCAGGUCUCUGUGUUGGAAAGAACUGCUUAUAUUUAUUUUGAGCUUCAGUUUUUUCCUUUUAGAAAUCAAACAAACAAAAAGGGAUAUCAUUCAGAUUAAGUCAAAUUGAUUACUUCACUCAGUCAUCAAGCACUAGACCUCCUUUUAGCCUACUAUUUACAUAAGGGAUGACUGCUAUCUCCUGUGAUCCAGUUUUGAAAUGUGUUUAAAAGCUUAGUAAUUCACAAAAGACAACUAUUACCCACUGGGACAUUAGUUCCUUAUUUUGUCCAUCUUGAAAAAUUGAUGCUAUCCCUAUGUUUCUACCAGUGGGAAACUCACAGGGAUCCUCAUGGAAAACAAUUACAGUAAUUUCUUCUGAUUGUAACUCCUAUAGUGUCAUCAGCCAGGUGUCCUGAAAGACUCCAUCUGUAAAAUCGCCUCAAAUUCUGGAUGCACAAUGAUGGAUUUAUUUUCAAUGUCUGGCCGCAUUCUAGAGAAAAGAAAGGGCAGAGGCAGUAGCUAAACAAGGCAAAUUGGCGUUUCCACUCGGAGCGUGGCCACAGGAGCUUCCCCAGGUGCAAAGGGAUGCAGCCCUGGAAACAGAUGGGAUCUUCAAUCCACUGGAGUUGGUAGUAAAAAAUCUGUCUACUUUCUUGCUUCAAAAAUCUAGGCCUUGGGGGCCACAUCCUUAUGGUAAAGUCUGGAUCUACAGUGCCAAGCCUGCAUCUACUUGGUGUGGGAUUUGAAUAAAACCAGGUGAGAACAAAUUCAGGUGUGUAACUGCAUUGAUGAUGAUAAUCAGAGAGGAUCAAGAUUGAGACUGUUUGGCACAGCUGAGCACAGGACACACAAAUCCACUCUUGAAAAGUAGACUGUAUCCAAGAAUCCGACAUCCUCAAAUCCAAAAUUCAUUUGGAAAGAAAAUGUGUAAAAUGUUUAAAGACCUAGAAAAAGGAAACCCAAAUCACCAGAUGAGACAAAUAUUGCUUCAAAAAUACCAGGAAAAUUUUGGAGAGAGAAAAUCAAAACCUCCUAAAAGUAUAUAAUAAUUUCAUUUAAGAUAGUUCGAGUGAGGCAAAUAGCAUACAAAAUGCAUGUGAAAACCUAAGUAAUGGGUGGAAAGAUGGACUUGAAUAAUGUAUCAAUACAGAGAAAAAGAGAAGCACUUUCGUAGUUUGUCUGCUAGAGGUAACCUGCCACUGAUAGCACUACCAAUGGGAGGUAACAGGGAAAUGGAGGAGAGAUAAUAUUUGAAGAAACAAUGAAUGAAUUUUUUUUUAACAGUUUAUGAAAGGUUAGAGUUUGGAGCCAAGAAUCUCAGUGAGUCAUAGGAAAAAUAGAUGCAAGUAAACUGAGGUAUAACUCAGCUCAGUGAAGUCUCCUGCUACCAAAGACAGAGACAUGAUCUUAGCCUGACUCAUGGUGGGUCACCUUGAGUUUAAAACCAUCCCAAGGGGCAUUCCAAAUCCCCAAGGCAACAGGAUCUGCCUGUGCACAUAUAGAAAAAGUUGGGGACAGUUGGUAGGGACUGACCAUCCACCUACUUCAUUUGUCUCUGAGAUAAAUGGGUUCUACUAUGAUUAGCCAGGACUGAGAGUCUAAAGGGGUCUUUCCUGACUGUGCUUAUGGAGAUGAGAAUUAGCUCACCCUUCAGGGCCCACAAUGUGGAGGUGACAGCCUGUGAGCGUGACUCAUAGCAUCCAUGGGAUUCAGGGCAACAUUGACCUCCAACUCCUUGACUGCCUUCUGCCUUCCCUGUCCUAUAGGAGAACCAAAUGCCUGUUUGAAGACAGUCGUGGCAGUGCUUGUCUCUAGCUGAAUUUUUGUAGAUAUCUGUGGAAUAAUGGGGAAAAUUUGUGUCAAUAGUAAACAGAUGUGUUUUUACUUACCCCUGAAAUUGUAUUCCUGUCCAUCCCAUCCUUCUAAGGCCAAGCCAACAGGUUGUUGCAAAGCAGGAGAGAGCAGACACCGUGUAAGAAUAAAUUCAACAACUAAGCUUUGCGUUGAAUGAGGAUUUUCCUGGUCUCUUUAGCUAGGCUUAGAUUUGAAAGUCAGGCUUUGCAGACAAAAGAGAUUCUUAGCUUUUAAAUGGUCUUUUCUCAAUACCUAGGGCUAACCUUUUAAAAUUCUGUUGUGGUUAGAGAGUUUUCCAUAGGGAGCUUCCCAAGAGUGGAGAGAGGAAGGGGAAUGGGAUGGGCUCCUGAGAUUGAGGCUACUGUGUUGAGAGCUGAGAAGCUCCUGGAACACCAACGGGGUGCAGAAUGGCAGUGGCAGGCAGACAGACGUCAGGUGCACCAGAGGCAAUUUGUUCUUUUCUCAGUGCUUUGUUUUGUGAUCACUUCCUCAGAAGGACCCACCCUGAUUGUCUGAUACAACAGGGUAGCAGUUCUAUACCUCCUCCUUCUGGGGUUGUUCAACUUUCUCUGUCUUUGUGUCUUGGAUUAUGAUCUGUUUUACCGACUAUUGUCAGCUUUUCUGGAACACCAACCUUGAUAUUAUCUUCCUAGAAUCUGGGAACACCAGAUCCUUGAGUUCACGCCACCAAUGGGUAUGAAGUGAGCUCCAAUCCAAAGUAAUUGCUCUGCUAGCUCCUCAUGGGUAAUGCCUAAGAGAGGAUCUGUGCAGUGUGGGGAACUCACAUGUGAUGUUUCAGCUUGACAGUGUCAACUCAAUUUACUUAGACUCUGCCUUGGGAUUAGUGUAACACAUCUGGGUGGCUCAUAGAGGUAUGGCCUUGGGUUCCAUAUUUGGUCCCUGCUAUGUCCAGUACAACUCUUGAAACUUCGGAGAUGGGACAGUGGAGGAUGAAGAAAAACAAACGUUAAGAUGCUGAAAGCUGAGGUCAGUGGAGCCACCUCUCCUGCUGGGAGAGAAAAAGACCACCCAAUGAAUGCAGCGCAUUUAUUUAUAUACUCUGGAGGUCUGUGUAAACUGAAACUCCUUUGCCUAACAACUCGCUUGUCUGACUCACUUUGGGCACCUUGUGUCCUCAGAGCUGGAACAGUUUGCUCAUGUGACUUGCUUCAGGUGUUCUGUGUUCUCAGGGCUGGCCUUGCUUUAGCCCUGCACAUGGACAGAUCUCCAGCUUCAGACACUCCCCACACCCUACCCCUUCCUGUCUGGCACUGUUCCUUUAUUCUGCUUUGCUCCUCCCACACCUUUGUAACAUGAUGUUCCUGCCUUGAGGCCAGUAAACCAUGGCCUGAAACCCUUGAAAUCAUGAGCCAAGUAAAUCUGUCUUCUUUUAAACUGUGGGUGUCAGGUUUUGUGUCCCAGAUGAGUAGUGUAUGUCACAGUGAGAAGGAAGUGGCCUCUAGAAAGUCCUUAAUGGAAGGUGGUGAUAAAAUAGAGUGAGAAAGAUGAAGCAGAGAUCCAGGCCCACUGGUUAGACAGAGAUGUGCUAUGUUCUCAUGAGGCCAUGAGGGUUUUGUACUGAGUUCAUUGGGCUGGGGUGCUCUGGGAUAGAAUGAGAGCUACCAUGAUUAGAAACAUCAUUUUAUGAGCAGAAUCUCCAGUGGUUCCUAAACACUGUUUUUCUGCUUUCACAGACCUUUGCAUGAGUAGGGAGGAGUAAAUAGCACAUUAAGUGCAGAAUAGGAAUUAGAAUUCAGUGAUGUUAUGUCAGUCUAGAAUUUUACAGUCCCUGGAUUAAACCUGUCUAGGGAUGUCCACUCUUUUCUCUAUUUAAAAAUGUUUGCUAUUCUUUGAGAAUGCAGUUCACUAUUGCCAUAUAGGGACACUGGAACAGAAAACAUAGUUAGAAUUCUCCCAGCUCCAUUUUCCUGAUUUCACUCAGGAUGUCAUUCAUCUUGUGAGUUUCAUCUCCUAGAACACUGUCCCAUAUGCAGUAGGAAGAUAACACCCUUCUCAGGUCUCUGAAGACACUGUGGAUUUCUCUGAUUCUUUCCAGCACACUCUAGGUGUGUGUAAUCUCAGGAUAACAGAAUGCUACACUGUCUUGUUGCCUAAUUAAGCUCCCGUGUUCCAAAUUGCAGGUGUCAAAAGUUCAAGUGUUAAAUGGUGGGGCAGUGCAUCCAAGACAAUAGUGUGCAAAGUGGCUACUCAGGAACGGGCUGGGCUUUUACUUCUUGCUGCUUUAAGCUUCCUCUGUCUUGCCAGAUGCUGCCUCAUUGAAGAUAUGAAUAGAUUCAACAUGGAACCGAAUACAUUGUCCAGAACUGACAUUCAGAGCCAAGUCACAUGUGAUGAAAGACUGUACACUCUUUUAGCAUGGGGGUUCCGUAGCAGAGUGGAAAAUGCUACAAUAGAUUUUCUUGUUAAUUCACAUAGCAAAUAUCGUGCAGCUUCUGUGUCUCAGGCACUGGAAGAAAUUCUAUGGGUGUUAAUGCCCUUAAGACAAGAAGCUUAGCCUUGAAGAGUAAAGUCUAGUGGGGAUAAGUACACUAAGAUAGGACAGGUCAGUAAGGUUUGAAAGAGAAGCUAAUUUAGGAGCCUGGACUUGAGAGACAGAGGGGGAGGGGGGAAGGAGGAGGAGGAGGAAGAAGAGGAAGAGGCAGAAGAGGGAGAGAAAGGGAAGGAAAGGGAAGAGAAAGGGAGGAGAGGGGAGGGGAAGGGAGGGGAGGGAAGGGAGGAGGGGAAAGAGUGCUAAGGACACAGCCAAGUAAAAACUAGAACUCACAUACGAAUGCCUGGAGCUCAAGAGAGAGAAACACAUGGAGUGGAAGGAGGUUUUUAAGUUAAAAAUUUCCAGGAUGAUUGAAAACUAGGUAACUAUACAGUGAGAAAAAAAGGAACGAAAUUAUAAUUACAAAAUCCUGGGAGGAAAUAAUGUAUAAAGAAAACAGGAUAAAGGAGAGCAGGCAGGUAGGCUGGGAGCAGGUGAUCAAAGAGUUCUGAGAGCCCAGAGGCACAUAUGUCACAGAGCUGGCACAGGCAUGGCCAUCACAAGGAAUGGAUUCAGCAAGGUCUGAGGCCACAAACAGUCCCCAUCAAGCUGGGCGGAUGGAACCCUGUCUCCUGGAUUCAGCAGUUCCCUGGACCAACUGAGUAAUUUCAGAGGGUUAAAGAGCAAAUUAAAAAUUAAGCAAAAUAAUAGGAAUAAAAUGGGAGUAAGGGAGGGGUCUCAGCUCAGGUGAAUGGUGGGAAAAUGGAGGCUGAAGAGAUUUAACUGCCAGUGAUGCAUUGGGUUUAAAGACCAGGUUGCUGACGUGAGUAGGGGGAAUUAGACAGCAGGCUCCUACUCCAAGCCAGGAGCCGAGGUUUCAGAAUAUGGCUGAUGUUCCUGGUUACGAGGACUGACUGAAGAGUUUGGGGCUAGAGCAGGGGUGUGCAUGAGAAUGUUUUAUAAUUAUUCUGGUAAAACAUGAGUGGGACUGGAGGGAAAUAGCAGAAGGCAAAGCUAGAACUUGAGAUUGGAGGCAGUAGAAACACAGAUGUAAGUGCUGAUCAAUGAACAAUUGUGCUGAUUAAUGAACAGGGGUAAAAAGAAUUGAGGUUCACCCAUGUUGCCAUACAUGGCAAGAAGUUUUUCAUUUUAAAGAGUAGCACUCUAGUGUGUGACACUUUCAUUAUUCAUCCAUCUCUUGAGAGUCGCGUAGGGUGAUUCCACAUAAGUUAAGGAGAGAGUCUCCAUCAGCAGGAGAACAGACAUCUCUCUGAGAUCCUGACUUCAUUUCCUUUCCAUAUGGCCUCAGAGAAGAGGUUACUGGGCCAUGUGAUAUGUCUACCAAGUUGCAUUCCCAUCAACAACAGGGAGAUAUCAGUCCAAGGGUGCAGGUUCCAAUUAUUGAGGAAGAUCAAGUUCUGGAAAUCUGACAUACCACAUGGUGAUAAUGAUUAAUAGUAUUGCAUUGUAGACUCGAAAUACAAUGAAAAAUUGAAGAGGGCUUUAGUGGUACUCCCAAAGAAAAAAAGAUGGGAAGGAGGGAGGAGACAGAGAAAAGAAAAUAAGGAAGGAAGAAAGGGAGGAAAGAAGAAAGGAAAGGCAAGAAGACAAAGGAAGGAAGGAAGAGAAGCAAAGAAAGACGGAAAGAAAUGGUUGCUAAGUGAAAUGGUGGAUAUGCUAAUUAGAUCAAUUAUGAGAUAUUUCAAAAUGUAUGCACAAAUCAAAACAUCACAUUGUAAAUAUAUAAAGAUCCUUACUUGUUAGUGAUGCCACAGUAAAGUUAAGAAAAUAAAAUUGUGAGGCAUUGUCAGUGAAUGCAGGGAGGAGAAAAAGCCAAUCCCAAGUUUUUCAGUCUUCCUGUGUUUGAGGAACAGAGAUUAAUUGACAGAAACAGAAAAGUACUGUUACUCACCAUGUAACAAUACCAUUUCUUUGCUUAUUUAUUUAUUGAUUACUUUUGAUUUUCAAGAGAGAAUCUCAUUGUGUAUUCCAGGCUGGGUUCGAACUUAUGGUGGCCCUCUUGUCUCAGCCUCACAGAGUGCUGGGCUUACAGGUAUGCAAUAUCACGUCUGGCUGACUAUUCCUUUUUUUAAGAAAAUAGUGAUGUUGAUUUUUCAAAGCAGAAACAGUGCUAGUCUGAACCAGAAGAAGAGUCCUCCACUCUUGAUAUGGGAUGAACUUCCACUUAUAUUCAUGCUGUUCCCUUACCAACCCAGCCACAGUGUGCACCCUAUGGGGUCUCCCCUCACUUGUUGGAGUGGUUUCAUAGAAAACUCAUGGUGACAUCUCAGAUUACUGAGAUUUCAUUACUUGGACCAAAGAGACAAGGGUGCAUUCAUUAGUGUGCUAUGAAAUAUUACUCAAUAAAGAAGGUGAAAUUAUACUUGCCAAAAUAAAUGAUGGUUGUAUAUACCAGG